UCUGACACACUCAGGGUCGAAGCGAAAGUGUUAAGUGCACCGCCUGGGGAGUACGGUCGCAAGAUUAAAACUCAAAGGAAUUGACGGGGGCUCACACAAGCGGUGGAGCAUGUGGCUUAAUUCGAAGCAACGCGAAGAACCUUAUCCUGGGUUUGACAUGGUUGGAUUAGCUUCCUGAAAGGGAAGUGACGCGUUUACGUGGAACAAUCACAGGUGCUGCAUGGCUGUCGUCAGCUCGUGCUGUGAAGUGUCGGGUUAAGUCCCUUAACGAGCGAAACCCCUAUCACUAGUUGCUACCAGGUUAUGCUGAGGACUCUAGUGAGACUGCCGGUGUCAAACCGGAGGAAGGUGGGGAUGACGUCAAGUCCUCAUGGCCUUUAUGCCCAGGGCUGCACACGUGCUACAAUGGUGCGUACAGAGCGACGCGAUACCGUAAGGUGGAGCAAAUCGCAAAAAGCGCGCCCCAGUUCGGAUUGUGGUCUGCAACUCGACCACAUGAAGUUGGAAUCGCUAGUAAUCGCGUAUCAGCUACGACGCGGUGAAUACGUUCCUGAGCCUUGUACACACCGCCCGUCAAGUCAUGGAAGCCGGUAGUGCCCGAAGUGGU
rnacentral:rRNA from 1 species